rnacentral:rRNA from 1 species
AUUUAAAGAAAGCGUAAUAGCUCACUGGUCGAGUCGGCCUGCGCGGAAGAUGUAACGGGGCUAAACCAUGCACCGAAGCUGCGGCAGCGACGCUGAUGCGUUGUUGGGUAGGGGAGCGUUCUGUAAGCCUGUGAAGGUGUGCUGUGAGGCAUGCUGGAGGUAUCAGAAGUGCGAAUGCUGACAUAAGUAACGAUAAAGCGGGUGAAAAGCCCGCUCGCCGGAAGACCAAGGGUUCCUGUCCAACGUUAAUCGGGGCAGGGUGAGUCGACCCCUAAGGCGAGGCCGAAAGGCGUAGUCGAUGGGAAACAGGUUAAUAUUCCUGUACUUGGUGUUACUGCGAAGGGGGGACGGAGAAGGCUAUGUUGGCCGGGCGACGGUUGUCCCGGUUUAAGCGUGUAGGCUGGUUUUCCAGGCAAAUCCGGAAAAUCAAGGCUGAGGCGUGAUGACGAGGCACUACGGUGCUGAAGCAACAAAUGCCCUGCUUCCAGGAAAAGCCUCUAAGCAUCAGGUAACAUCAAAUCGUACCCCAAACCGACACAGGUGGUCAGGUAGAGAAUACCAAGGCGCUUGAGAGAACUCGGGUGAAGGAACUAGGCAAAAUGGUGCCGUAACUUCGGGAGAAGGCACGCUGAUAUGUAGGUGAAGUCCCUCGCGGAUGGAGCUGAAAUCAGUCGAAGAUACCAGCUGGCUGCAACUGUUUAUUAAAAACACAGCACUGUGCAAACACGAAAGUGGACGUAUACGGUGUGACGCCUGCCCGGUGC